rnacentral:lncRNA from 1 species
CGUGUCUCUUUCCAGUGCUGUCACUUGCCUGUCCCCUGCCCCAGCCUUUGUGGAGGCUGACGUGGGACCCGUGACUGAUUCUCGAGCCACUGAGGCACGGAGGCCGCUUGUUAACACUGUGGAGCCUGGCCUGCCUGUUGAUGCCGAUGAGGCCUCGCCAACCCCUGGAAGGACAGAAGGGACAGGGGAGGCCCAUGAAGUAAGGUAACUCACCCACCUGCAGCACAUGGCGCUGGAGCUGGAGUGCGAUUGGCCUGACUCUGGCUUGUGCUUUGUUUCCAAAAUCAGUGGGUGAGGAAGGGCCAGGCAGGUGGAGGGGUAUAGGCACAGGCCAGUGGGACAGAGCCCACUGGGGAUCCUGUGACAGACAGAGGGGGACCUGGGGGCCAGGAAGGACUCUGUGUCCAGGAGGUGUCAGGAAGAUCUGGCAGGCUGCAGGGAGAAGACCCCAUGGGGCCACCUGCCAGCCUUGGACACACAGCCAUCAAGACUGUCCAGUGAGGAGGCUGGACUCAACUCCACAGGGCACCCCUGUGACAGAAGCCACCGUGUGGAGGGGACACAUGGUUCACACAGACCCUGGGGUGCGCAUCACCCCAGAGGGGCCAGCAGAGCUCAAGUUAAUCCAGCACUUGACUCCCAGCUAGGAAGCAAC